AAAAUGACUCUCAGCAAUGGAUAUCUCUGCUCUUGCAUUGAUGAAGAACGUAGCGAAAUGCGAUACUUGGUGUGAAUUAUAGAAUCCUGUGAACCAUCUAGUCUUUGAACGUAAGUUACACCCUAGGCCAUUAGGCUAAGGGCACGCCUGCCUGGGCGUCAUGC
rnacentral:rRNA from 1 species